AUUAAAAUAAAAAUCUUUUACAAUACUUUAAUAAAAUCUAAAACAAUUGCGUAGAAAAAACAAAACUAUUUUAAAAGCAUUUUCAUUACAUAAAAAAUGCAUUGCGGUUUGAAGGUCAUCAACAUAUGCACAGUGGGCCAGGUGUUAGACAAAAGUUAAAAAAAUACAUUAAAAAAAAAAAAAAUACGUUAUUGUACACCAUUUUAUAGCUUAAACAUUCAGCUUUUAUAAAAGUAAUUAAGGUGCUCCAAGAAGACCAAAUGGUCUUAUCACAGAAUCACGGAAAAACAUUUCACCAGGAGAUUAACGCCUCCGUUGUUUGAUAAUUCCUUACCAAUGUCGCUUAUCUGACCAGAAACGGCAUUGUAUCUGGAAGCUUUGGCACUAAGUCUAUAAUCUAACCACUGCGACACAGCUGUUUAACACCCCACUGCUCUUAUAUGUUUUUGUUCGCUUUUGGCUAACCCUCAUUAAUUUUGUACGUACUUUAUAGAUACUUUCGUACGUACUUUAUAGAUACGCUCGUACGUACUUUAUAGAUACUCACUUAGAGAUUUAAAAAUUGGUUGUAUUACUGAAACUAUAAUGUAAAAAAAAAUUUGAAUUUGCA